rnacentral:rRNA from 1 species
ACGGGAGGCAGCAGUGGGGAAUAUUGGGCAAUGGGCGAAAGCCUGACCCAGCAACGCCGCGUGAAGGAAGAAGGUCUUCGGAUUGUAAACUUCUUUUAUGAGGGACGAAGGACGUGACGGUACCUCAUGAAUAAGCCACGGCUAACUACGUGCCAGCAGCCGCGGUAAUACGUAGGUGGCGAGCGUUAUCCGGAUUUACUGGGUGUAAAGGGCGCGUAGGCGGGGAUGCAAGUCAGAAGUGAAAUUCCUGAGCUCAACUCGGGCGCUGCUUCUGAAACUGCUAGACUUGAGUGCUGGAGGGGAUAGCGGAAUUCCUAGUGGAGCGGUAAAAUGCGCAGAUAUUAGGAAGAACACCGGUGGCGAAGGCGGCUAUCUGGACAGUAACUGACGCUGAGGCGCGAAAGCGUGGGGAGCAAACAGGAUUAGAUACCCUGGUA